rnacentral:rRNA from 1 species
UACGAAGGGGGCUAGCGUUGCUCGGAAUCAUUGGGCGUAAAGGGCGCGUAGGUGGUUCUGUAUGUCUACCGUGAAAGCAUACAGCUCAACUGUAUUUUGCGGUAGAAACUGCAGGACUUGAGGCUGGGAGGGGCUGGUGGAAUUCCCUGUGUAGCGGUGAAAUGCGUAGAGAUGGGGGAGAACACUCGUGGCGAAGGCGGCCAGCUAGACCAGUUCUGACACUGAGGCGCGACAGCGUGGGGAGCAAACAGG